rnacentral:lncRNA from 10 species
CUCAAGAUGGUUUCUACCUGCCAUUGCUGGCUUUGAAGAGGAUGAAGAUGGCUACAAACCAAGAAAUGAGGAGGCUUCUAAAAGCUAGGAUUGACCCAUCGAUCAUAGGUCACAGUAAAAGGGAAAACACUUAUGGAUAUGGAGAUGCCACAAAAUUAGAGUAUUUGGGAUCGAAACCAUCACCUCACCUGCCUGGACUCACAAUGAGCAAUACUCUGGGAUCUUUUGAUAUUUGUGGAUUACAUGUUACUGAAAGCCAAUUUACCUGAUUCUGAAAAAUACCAAUGCUUAUUUCGAGGUAAGACAUUUACCAAUUUUACAGAUAGAAGGUCUGUGUGAGUGUGUGUGUGUGUGUGUGUGUGUGUGUGCAUGUGUUCAAGUAUAAACAAAUUGGUUUAAGAACCAUGGAUGAGAAAAUUGAUACCAUCGUGUAAAUAGGAAGAGGUAAUAUAAACAGAGAUCACAGAUGAAAUUUUUCACUGAAGAUUUCUACACAAAGCCAAAGCUACUGAUGUCAGAAUUUCUCUCUUAUGGGACAUAUCUUUCCAUGAGCUUCAGGUUUCUGUAAAUAUAGCUUAUUGAAAUUACCAGUGGUCUUUACAUGCCCUAUGUUUCAAAAUCCUAACUCAUCACUUCUCUCCCAAAAGAUUCUAUAUUUUUAAAUCUUACUUGGUGGUCCGUACCUUUCUCAGUCACUUAGUCUACAAACCCAGAAGUAUGGAAAUUGAUUUCUUUUUCUCCUCUUACCUUUUCAUCCAGACACAAAUCUUACAGAUUUCAAUUCCUUAACAUAUUUCACUUGUUCCUCUCUAAUUUUACUGCUCCUGUGGUACUUCAUUAUCUCUUGCCUG